rnacentral:misc_RNA from 1 species
GAAAAAAGGGCCGGGGGAACCUUGUUUGAUUGUUCCCCAAAUUUAAUCAUUUUGUGUUUACCGAAGGAAUUUUCAUGUGCCCUAUAUUUGAAUUUUUGUCAAAAAAUUAACUUAUUCCUAGUUACAGUUCUUGAUUCUUUACCCUAACCAAAAUUCAAGUUUGGCUUUAUUAUGUUUGCUGAAGCAAGUUUCACUUGUUCCAGUUUUACAUUUUAUGAAAUGAAUAACUGAGAACUGGUUUCUACAGGCUGAUGUAGAUGGUGAUGGAACA